GGUGAGGUGGGCGCUGCUUGUCGAUUCUUGCUUGUAGAGCUAGAGUGGGAGAAAGGAGGGUGUUGUAGCCACUAUCUUCUUCUUGUCUGAGGUUGUUGGUGGAUUGGCUUCUUAUUACUCCUCCCUCCCUUUAGCUUCUUUGUUGUUUCCAUAGCUUCCCUCCUAGGAAAAUCAUCAGAGCAGGGAUUUGGUAACCCAGAUCCACCUGUUUGCACUCCUAAGGGUUUCGCUGC
rnacentral:lncRNA from 1 species